UCCUCCAACACCCCCACCGCCAGCCCCACUCUUUAUCCUCCAGCGUCCCCCACUCCCAGCCCCACAUCUUAUCCUCCAUUGUCCCUCACUCCCAGCCAUACACACCCUAUCGCCCACUUCUAGCCCUCCGCCCUUCUGCUAUCUCAGUACGUCCUCUCUGCCAGUCCAUUCACCACAUCUCCCAGCAGCCCCACACUCCUAUCCCCACACACCCUAACCCCCACUCCCAGCCCCUUUUAUCCCAGACUCCAGUGUCCCCCAUUUCCCCUGCCCCAUACACUGCAUCUUCCAGUGUUCUCCACUCCCAGACCUACACACCCCAUCCUUCCCCACUCUCAGCCCCACACACUCCAUCCCAAUGCAAAUCCAUUCCCAGUCCCACCACCCCAGUCCCCACAUUCUCCAGUAUCCCCCACUUCCAGCUCCACACCCCCCAUUCCCCAGCAAACUAUCCCCAAUCCUCUACUCCCUGGCCCACAGCCCAUCCCACACUUCAAACCUCCCUCUAUCCCAGUAUAUCCUCUCUGCCAGCACCACGUCCUGCAGCAUUUCCCACUCCCAGCCCCACACACCCCAUCCUCCAACAUCCCGCACACCCCAUCCUUCAGCAUCCACCUCUCAGCCCCACCAUGCCAGUCCUACACUCCCUAUCUGCAGCGUGUACCAGCCCCAAACACCUUCAUGCAUAGACCCACAAGCCUCCUUCCAAUCAUCCUGCAUUCCCAUCUCUACACCACGCCCUCCAUUUCUCAGUAUGUCUAACCUCCAGCCCCACGGAAUGCCACAAAAAAGAUAGUCCUCUUGCACUGACAAAACCUAUCUUGCUAAGUUCCACAUGAUUGUUCCCUGCCAUGCUGACUCUCAACAGGAUCUCCACAUACCAGAAAUUGACUGCUCUCCAGUCUCUAGUUAAGUGCAUAUUUUCAAGUAGAUUGCCAGAGAUGUAUGUACAAAAUCCCUGUGUGUAUUCAGGUAUAACUAGAUACAUUUGCAGACAGCUAUGGGUCCAUGCAUUGCUUUAUGUUUACUUACCUAUUUGGAUUGAAAUUCAACAUAAACUAGCUGAAACUCUUAGCACCCUUGACAAUAAUUAUAAAUACCACCUGAAAAUAAUUACAAAGCUCAGAAAAGAACAUGGGUCACUAUAUAAUAAUAAUUUGUGUGUGUGCAUAUUGCAGAUUAAAACCUUCCUUUUCUCAUAGUCAGGCUCAGCUCUGCCAAAGACCCACUCAAAGAUAAGGGCUUUACAGUGUGCCUGGAAAAGCAACAGAGUGAUGCUAUUUUGGACCAAAAAAGGGAGUGCAUUCCAAAGAUGAAAGCCCUGGAGGUUGCCCUGCCAGCAGAUCCUUCCUUUUUGUACAGUAUUGAGAGACUCCAGCUCAGAUGCCUUCACUGAUCUCAACUGCAACACUAUGGCAUGUAAAAAGAAGCCGUAUCUCAGGAAUCCCAAAGUACUUCACAAACAUGGAUUACGUCUCUUGAAACCUUAUGCAAUGGAUAUAGUUAUUUAUGGAUGGGGAAUCUGAGACAUAGAAAAACUGUGACUUUUCUAAGUAGUACAGAUGCAGCACUAUGAAAGUUGACGUUCUUGGCUUCCAAGAGGUAUACCACAGUACUCCAUGGUGAUCGCCGUGGAUACGACUUUGAACUCUCCUGCUCUUCAGGUGAACAGGAAAAGCCCCAGGAAAUUCUGAAUUUCAUUACUUAUGUGGCCAGCAUGGUGAGCAGACCUCUGAGCUGACAGCUCACCUGAGCAGUACACCUGGCCAUGAGCUCCAGGAGUUCCCCGGAUUGCAGACGAGUACCAGCAUGUAGCGUGGAGGGGAUCCUGGACUUCAUUGCUGCAUGGGUAGAGGAAUCUGUUCUUGCAGAACUAUGAACCCACAAAAGAGACACAGAUAUCUAUGCCAGAUUGCAAAGGGCAUAGAGGAGGAAGGAUGUGCCAGGGAUGCCCAGCAGUGCUUAGUGAAAAUGAAGGCGCUGAGGCAGCCAUACCAAAAGACAAAGGAGGCAAACAGACAGUUUGCAGCAUCGCCACAAGCAUGGCACUUCUACAAGAAGCUGCCCGCGAUCCUUGUGGGGGGACAUGACCAGCUUCCCUAACCAGUCUGUGGACUCCUCCCAAGACACUCAGACAGCCUCAGGUAGCAGUGUGGAGGACAGCAUGGUGGAAGAGGAGAAGGAAGAGGAGAACAGCAGGUGAGCAGGGCAAUCGAGGUCACUGAGAGCCAAGAACUUUUUAUAACCUUGGAGACAGGCCCCUCCUCCCAAGGUGUCUCACAGUUGGACACUAAUACUGGGAAGAGCACUUCUGGAACAGCAGUCAAAGCUGUGGUGCACUCCUCUGGCCCCGCCAGCUGUCCACCUGGCACAAAUCUGCAGGCAAAACAGACUAGAGAAGAGAUGUCCAAGGAGCAAAUGCAAUCCACCAACUUGGACAGGGAGCACACAAGCGAGGGGAGGAAUAUGCUGCAGGAGGAGAUGUGAGGAAAGGAGAACAUGCAGGAAACUGGAAGUGAAGGACUAGGAGAGUGUUAAUAUUAUUAAUAAAAAAUAUGGUAAAGCCACAUACAUGUCCAAACAUAUAUAUCCUGAUUUUUAAAUAAGUUAGACAUUCAGUUCUGCUUGUAAAAUAUAUUGUGAUUAUGUUGGUAAUUUGGGGAUGCAAAUACUAUGGAUGUAUAUGUAAAUUAGGUAAUCAUAACCUCAAAUGGCUAAUUAAGGUCAUUUGUGGGCACAGGUACCUGAAUUGCAUUAGAAAAUCACUCAGUUGUGAAGCUAGCUUGUUUGAAAAUUAGACAUAAAAUGUCUGGAUAGAUAAUUCCAUAAACCUAGUGUUAUAUCUCUGAUCUCAUGAAAAGAGAAAAUCCAACAUAAUCUGAGAUUCCUGAAAAAAAGUUAGAAAACAAGCUGACUACCGAAGUACAAAUGUUCUUUGUGUUUUGCUAGUACUUUUCAAUCACACAUACACAUUUAACAAGCAUACAAAUUAUAAAUCAUGUUAGUCAGAAAAAUAUGGAAUAUAGCAUCUUAGCCAGAUUGUUAUAAGCAGUGAUGUACGGAUGCAUCAUUAAUUGUAAUAAGAAAGAAACUAUUGUAACACUUACUGGUAUGGGAGUAAAAAUUUUUGGAGGCAAAUAAUCCAAAACAUGUUAAUGUGAGGUAGUAGUGUUAAAGGUGGGGAAAGCAUAGGCUUUCAAAUCUGCAGAUAUCCAUUUUAUAUCCAUGUUGUGCAUAGAUGCAGAUGCAGACACAAAUUUUGUAUCUAGAACCCUGCAAAUUUGCAGUUAUCUGCUUCCUAUCUGUGGGUAUCUGCCUCCACGGAUGUGGAUGUGGAUAUUACAGCUCAUUUUUGCGAAUACGGAUGCGGAUACACAUUUUUAUCCGUGCAAUGCUCUAUUCAUACCACAGCAUUCUUAAUCCACAGUUAUCCCAGAUUUCAAUUGAAGUACCUUCUGGGUUGUUCGCCCCCCUCUAUUUUAAAAGAUCUUUUUUCAUAUUCUGAUAUUUACCUUUGGACACAGUGCUUUUCCCUUUAAUAAUUCCAGGUUUAAAAGAAGACAUAUACAUUUUUCUGUUGACUAUAUCUUUCUGUUGAAUGAAUCUAA